GUGGGGAAUAUUGGACAAUGGGCGAAAGCCUGAUCCAGCCAUGCCGCGUGUGUGAAGAAGGUCUUCGGAUUGUAAAGCACUUUAAGUAGGGAGGAAGGGCAGUAAGUUAAUACCUUGCUGUUUUGACGUUACCGACAGAAUAAGCACCGGCUAACUUCGUGCCAGCAGCCGCGGUAAUACGAAGGGUGCAAGCGUUAAUCGGAAUUACUGGGCGUAAAGCGCGCGUAGGUGGUUUUGUAAGUUGGAGGUGAAAUCCCCGGGCUCAACCUGGGAACUGCCUCCAAAACUGCAUGACUAGAGUACGGUAGAGGGUAGUGGAAUUUCCUGUGUAGCGGUGAAAUGCGUAGAUAUAGGAAGGAACACCAGUGGCGAAGGCGACUACCUGGACUGAUACUGACACUGAGGUGCGAAAGCGUGGGGAGCAAACAGGAUUAGAAACCCGGGUAGUCC
rnacentral:rRNA from 1 species